ACCAAUUGUAAUGCACAACCUUUGCACCUUUAGGUAUCUUAUCUGGUUAUCUGGUGAUGACUGAAAUAAUGACUGGACAAGACAAUUAUGACAUAAUCUUUCACCUGUGAGCUGGAAUCAGCUGAUGAUAGCAGACAAGAACUAUACAGGAAUGCUCAGAGUUCAUUCAGAUGGUUUUCCUCCUGCAUUCCUCAGUGGAAGACAACACACCUGUGGGGCUGCUGCGGUGUACCACAGACACGACCUGCCAACCUGCAUACACUGAUAAAGUUACAGUACUGAGGUGAUGUGGCCCCCCUGUAAUAUGAGCCACAGAUCUUUGAAGAGGAAAGGAGAGAGAUUGUCCCGACAGACAGCCUGUCAUCUGUUGCGGGACGGUUCGGAUCGCAGUCCCAGGUUUGACCCAGAAUGGCUUGAGCGAUGUUAGACAAACGAGGGCAGGAGGACUGUCAGGGCAGCUUCAUGUCAAGCCUGUGAAAACUCCAGGCUGCUUGUGGAGAGAAGAUGAGCAGCAGC